AGGAGGAACAACCGCAGUGGCGGGGCCAGCUCUGGAAACCUGGAUUCAGCCCCCGCAGUAGCUCCAGAGCUCUCCGUCUGCAGGGCCUGGAGGCUCCGGGGCGGG
rnacentral:pre_miRNA from 1 species